UACGUAGGUGGCAAGCGUUGUCCGGAAUUACUGGGCGUAAAGAGCGCGCAGGCGGCUGGUCAAGUCCGACGUGAAAUCUCCCGGCUUAACUGGGAAAUUGCAUCGGAAACUGAUCGGCUUGAAGGUGGGAGAGGGUAGCGGAAUUCCCGGUGUAGUGGUGAAAUGCGUAGAUAUCGGGAGGAACACCAGUGGCGAAGGCGGCUACCUGGCCCAUUCUUGACGCUGAGGCGCGAAAGCUAGGGGAGCAAACGGG
rnacentral:rRNA from 1 species